ncrna:unclassified sequences Glutamine riboswitch
AACGUUCAAUCUAUUUAAAGUAGAUCGGAAGUAAGCUUAUGCUGAAGGAACGCGGU